GAUGAACGCUAGCGGCAGGCUUAACACAUGCAAGUCGAGGGGCAGCGAGGGUAGCAAUACCUGUCGGCGACCGGCGCAAGGGUGCGUAACGCGUGAGCAACAUGCCCGUAUCAGGGGGAUAAUCCAGGGAAACUUGGUCUAAUACCGCAUAAUGAUUUUUCAAGGCAUCUUGAAGGAUUUAAAAUUUCGAUGGAUACGGAUUGGCUCGCGUGACAUUAGCUGGAUGGUAGGGUAACGGCCUACCAUGGCUACGAUGUCUAGGGGUUCUGAGAGGAAGGUCCCCCACACUGGAACUGAGACACGGUCCAGACUCCUACGGGAGGCAGCAGUGAGGAAUAUUGGACAAUGGAUGGAAAUCUGAUCCAGCCAUGCCGCGUGCAGGAAGACGGCCCUAUGGGUUGUAAACUGCUUUUGUAUGGGAGCAAUAAGGGUUACGUGUAGCCUGAUGAGAGUACCAUACGAAUAAGGACCGGCUAACUCCGUG
rnacentral:rRNA from 1 species